rnacentral:rRNA from 1 species
GACGAACGCUGGCGGCGUGCUUAACACAUGCAAGUCGAACGGUAAGGCUCCAGCUUGCUGGGGUACACGAGUGGCGAACGGGUGAGUAACACGUGGGUGACCUGCCCUGCACUUCGGGAUAAGCCUGGGAAACUGGGUCUAAUACCGGAUAGGACCGCACCGUGAGGGUGUGGUGGAAAGUUUUUUCGGUGUGGGAUGGGCCCGCGGCCUAUCAGCUUGUUGGUGGGGUAAUGGCCUACCAAGGCGGCGACGGGUAGCCGGCCUGAGAGGGUGGACGGCCGCAUUGGGACUGAGACACGGCCCAGACUCCUACGGGAGGCAGCAGUGGGGAAUAUUGCACAAUGGGCGGAAGCCUGAUGCAGCGACGCCGUGUGGGGGAUGACGGCCUUCGGGUUGUAAACUCCUUUCACCAUCGACGAAGGGUUUCUGACGGUAGAUGGAGAAGAAGCACCGGCUAACUACGUGCCAGCAGCCGCGGUAAUACGUAGGGUGCGAGCGUUGUCCGGAAUUACUGGGCGUAAAGAGCUCGUAGGUGGUUUGUCGCGUCGUCUGUGAAAUUCCGGGGCUUAACUCCGGGCGUGCAGGCGAUACGGGCAUAACUUGAGUACUGUAGGGGAGACUGGAAUUCCUGGUGUAGCGGUGAAAUGCGCAGAUAUCAGGAGGAACACCGGUGGCGAAGGCGGGUCUCUGGGCAGUAACUGACGCUGAGGAGCGAAAGCAUGGGGAGCGAACAGGAUUAGAUACCCUGGUAGUCCAUGCCGUAAACGGUGGGCGCUAGGUGUGGGUUUCCUUCCACGGGAUCCGUGCCGUAGCUAACGCAUUAAGCGCCCCGCCUGGGGAGUACGGCCGCAAGGCUAAAACUCAAAGGAAUUGACGGGGGCCCGCACAAGCGGCGGAGCAUGUGGAUUAAUUCGAUGCAACGCGAAGAACCUUACCCGGGCUUGACAUAUACAGGAUCGCGCCAGAGAUGGUGUUUCCCUUGUGGCUUGUAUACAGGUGGUGCAUGGUUGUCGUCAGCUCGUGUCGUGAGAUGUUGGGUUAAGUCCCGCAACGAGCGCAACUCUUGUCUUAUGUUGCCAGCACGUUGUGGUGGGGACUCGUAAGAAACUGCCGGGGUUAACUCGGAGGAAGGUGGGGAUGACGUCAAAUCAUCAUGCCCCUUAUGUCCAGGGCUUCACACAUGCUACAAUGGUCGGUACAGUGGGUUGCCAGUCCGUGAGGGCGAGCUAAUCCCGCAAAGCCGGUCUCAGUUCGGAUCGGGGUCUGCAACUCGACCCCGUGAAGUCGGAGUCGCUAGUAAUCGCAGAUCAGCAACGCUGCGGUGAAUACGUUCCCGGGCCU